AUCCCAUGGUGGGGACAUUUCCUUUCAAGCUCCUUGAAAAUUCCCACGCAUCAUAAACACAUUCCCCAUCUAGCUGAUAAAAAAUAUUAAUUUCACCCCUAAACUU